GGAAUAUUGGACAAUGGGCGCAAGCCUGAUCCAGCCAUGCCGCGUGUGUGAAGAAGGCCUUCGGGUUGUAAAGCACUUUUGUCCGGAAAGAAAAGCUUAGGGUUAAUAACCCUGAGUCAUGACGGUACCGGAAGAAUAAGCACCGGCUAACUUCGUGCCAGCAGCCGCGGUAAUACGAAGGGUGCAAGCGUUACUCGGAAUUACUGGGCGUAAAGCGUGCGUAGGUGGUUUGUUAAGUCUGAUGUGAAAGCCCUGGGCUCAACCUGGGAAUGGCAUUGGAAACUGGCUUACUAGAGUGCGGUAGAGGGUAGCGGAAUUCCCGGUGUAGCAGUGAAAUGCGUAGAUAUCGGGAGGAACAUCCGUGGCGAAGGCGGCUACCUGGACCAGCACUGACACUGAGGCACGAAAGCGUGGGGAGCAAACA
rnacentral:rRNA from 1 species